rnacentral:lncRNA from 1 species
CUCAACCAUAUCUUCUAUCCAUUUAACAUAAUGUAACUUAAAUGACUCAGCUACUUUGAACACGAGCCUAUUGCAAUUCAGAGUGACUUUAAAACAGCUUAGCAAAGUUUUCUUCGAUCCCAGCUUGAAACAUUUUGGACAUAUUCAUGAAACUCAGAAAUCACUCAACUAACUUAAACUAUUACCUGAUAUUCAACUAACAGAAAAUAUUAACUAACUCAAUAGGGCAUUAUUACCACCAAUAUUCGACCAAAACUCGUAUGUAUUUCUACAUUCCUAACACACACUUGAUAGACUAAAUGAAUAAACUCAUGUUCAACAGUUCAUCAGUCCAAUUUAUACAUUCCAGAAUCAGUCUAAUACACAACAUGCCAUAUCGAAUAAACUAUUGUUUUACACAUUGAAAUCAGACAAACAAAAGGAGUCCAGAGUUCUGCUUCACGCAACAUUUCUACUUUAUUUCCAUAAACUUGAAGGAUUUAGAAUAUGUACCUGGAUAAUGGAAAUACCAGAAGAAAAAGAGGAAGUCAGUAGCAGGUAACAACACAGCAACAACAGCAACCCAGCAACAACAAUUCAAACCAAAUUCGAAGCCCAAAAAAUUGAAUAAAACCAAACAAGCUAGAUAUAACAGCCCCAAAAUAAUACCAAAACUUAAGUUUGAACACAGGGACUGAAAUGCAAACAACCAACUUUUCUUUUUAAUGUAACGAUAACCUUUCCUCACUCUCAAAAUUGAAAUGUUAAGAGCUUUUGACCUUUCUCUGAACUGAUAAAAAAACGAUGCUCUUAAGAAUUCUCAAAAUGUUGUCUAAGAACUCUUCAAACUCUCUUUCAAUGCUUUUAGAAGUAUUCCCAAACUCUCAACACUCUAUUUUUUGUAUUCAAGCUUUGAAAUCUUUAACUCUUUAAAAUUCCCCUUUAAUUGAUUAAAAAACUCCAUCUUACUCUGUCCU